AGUGAACGCUGGCGGUAGGCCUAACACAUGCAAGUCGAACGGCAGCACAGGAGAGCUUGCUCUCUGGGUGGCGAGUGGCGGACGGGUGAGGAAUACAUCGGAAUCUACUUUUUCGUGGGGGUUAACGUAGGGAAACUUACGCUAAUACCGCAUACGACCUACGGGUGAAAGCAGGGGAUCUUCGGACCUUGCGCGAUUGCAUGAGCCGAUGUCGGAUUAGCUAGUUGGCGGGGGAAAGGCCCACCAAGGCGACGAUCCGUAGCUGGUCUGAGAGGAUGAUCAGCCACACUGGAACUGAGACACGGUCCAGACUCCUACGGGAGGCAGCAGUGGGGAAUAUUGGACAAUGGGCGCAAGCCUGAUCCAGCCAUACCGCGUGGGUGAAGAAGGCCUUCGGGUUGUAAAGCCCUUUUGUUGGGAAAGAAAUCCAGCUGGUUAAUACCCGGUUGGGAUGACGGUACCCAAAGAAUAAGCACCGGCUAACUUCGUGCCAGCCGCCGCAGUAA
rnacentral:rRNA from 1 species